rnacentral:tRNA from 1 species
GCCUGGGUGGCUCAGUUGGUUAAGCAUCUGACUUUGGCUCAGGUCAUGAUCUCACGGUUCGUGAGUUCGAGCCCCGCAUCAGGCU